rnacentral:rRNA from 1 species
UACGGGGGGGGCAAGCGUUGUUCGGAAUUACUGGGCGUAAAGGGCUCGUAGGUGGCCAACUAAGUCAGACGUGAAAUCCCUCGGCUUAACCGGGGAACUGCGUCUGAUACUGGAUGGCUUGAGUUUGGGAGAGGGAUGCGGAAUUCCAGGUGUAGCAGUGAAAUGCGUAGAUAUCGGGAGGAAUACCGAUGGCGAAGGCAGGUCUCUGGGCUAUAACUGACGCUCAUGCACGAAAGCGUGGGGAGCAAACAGG